GUCCACGCCCUAAACGAUGGCAACUAGUUGUUGGAGGAUGAACUCCUUUAGUAACGCAGCUAACGCGUGAAGUUGCCCGCCUGGGGAGUACGGUCGCAAGAUUAAAACUCAAAGGAAUUGACGGGGCCCGCACAAGCGGUGGAUGAUGUGGUUCAAUUCGAUGCAACGCGAAAACCUUACCUACCCUUGACAUGCCAGGAAGCCCGAUGAGAGUUGGGUGUGCCCGAAAGGGAACCUGGACACAGGUGCUGCAUGGCUGUCGU
rnacentral:rRNA from 1 species